AUCCAGAUGACGAGUCCCAAAUACGACGAAAUGAGCGUCAAACUGGAU
rnacentral:hammerhead_ribozyme from 1 species